ACCUCAGUAACGGCGAGUGAAGCGGUAACAGCUCAAAUUUGAAAGCUGGCUCUUUUAGGGUCCGCGUUGUAAUUUGUAGAAGAUGCUUCGGGUGUGGCCCCGGUCUAAGUUCCUUGGAACAGGACGUCAUAGAGGGUGAGAAUCCCGUAUGUGACUGGGUGCUUUCGCUCAUGUGAAGCUCUUUCGACGAGUCGAGUUGUUUGGGAAUGCAGCUCAAAAUGGGUGGUAAAUUUCAUCUAAAGCUAAAUAUUGGCCAGAGACCGAUAGCGCACAAGUAGAGUGAUCGAAAGAUGAAAAGCACUUUGGAAAGAGAGUUAAACAGUACGUGAAAUUGUUGAAAGGGAAGCGCUUGCAACCAGACUUGCGCGCUGAUGAUCAUCCGGGCUUCUGCCCGGUGCACUCGUCUGCGCUCAGGCCAGCAUCGGUUUCGGUGGUGGGAUAAAGGCCUUGGGAAUGUGGCUCCUCUCGGGGAGUGUUAUAGCCCUCGGUGCAAUGCCGCCUACCGGGACCGAGGACCGCGCUUCGGCUAGGAUGCUGGCGUAAUGGUUGUAAGCGACCCGUCUUGAAACACGGACCAAGGAGUCUAACAUCUAUGCGAGUGUUUGGGUGUCAAACCCAUACGCGUAAUGAAAGUGAACGGAGGUGAGAACCCUUAAGGGUGCAUCAUCGACCGAUCCUGAUGUCUUCGGAUGGAUUUGAGUAAGAGCAUAGCUGUUGGGACCCGAAAGAUGGUGAACUAUGCGUGAAUAGGGUGAAGCCAGAGGAAACUCUGGUGGAGGCUCGCAGCGGUUCUGACGUGC
rnacentral:rRNA from 1 species